ACAUAGAAUAAUUACAAAAUAGACCUUAUCAUAAACGAACUUUAUAGUAAUACAAUACAAAGGAUAUAUUUAAAAUACUACAAAUAAGAUCCUAUAAAGUUUCUGAAUAGAGUAAGUCUUCGGGUAAGUCCCAGGAGUUUAGAUGAAGUUGCCUGACUGUCUGCCAUGCAAUGUCCGCAUACGACCUCAUAGUUAUUGGAUCACAAUCUAACGCCAGAAGAUUUAAGAUC